rnacentral:rRNA from 1 species
AGAAGUCGUAACAAGGUUUCUGUAGGUGAACCUGCGGAAGGAUCAUUGUUGAGGCCCGAGCGGACAAUUGCGAACCUGUCAACGCUCCCGCAGGGCCAGAGGGACGGCGUCAUUCGCCUGCCUGACCUCGCCACCCCGGGCACCCAUGGCCGCCCCUGUCCUGCCUCAUUGCGGGAUGGGCAGCAGGAAAAAUACCCGGCGUGGUGGUCGCCAAGGAACAUUCACAGUCGGAAAGCACCGCAAGCCGGUUCCAUCGUGCGUUGCAAUCCUUCCAUACAAGUCGAACUUUUAUGACUCUUGGCAAUGGAUAUCUUGGCUCUCGCAUCGAUGAUGAAUGUAGCGAAAUGCGAUACUUGGUGUGAAUUGCAUAAUCUCGUUAACCAUCGAGUCUUUGAACGCAAGUUGCGCCGAAGGCUAUCCGGCCGAGGGCAUGCCUACGUGGGCAUCAUGCCUCAUGUCGCUCCACACACCAUGAGGCACCUUUUCGAGUAGGGGCUGAGGUGGGCGUAGAUGCGGAGAUUGGCCCCCCCAUGCCUUGCAACGCGAUGGGUCGAAGUGCAGGCCGCCAGCCGAGAAAGGAUGCGGCGAGUGAUGGACGGACACGUAUGGCGCCGGACUGUGCCUCCGCCCCUGGCAGCAAUAGUGCAUGCAAGGAACCCACACCGUCAGGUGCGCUCGUACGUGCCCCUUGGAACCCGACCCCAGGUCAGGCAGGGCCACCCGCUGAGCUUAAGCAUAUAAAUAAGCGGAGGA